rnacentral:rRNA from 1 species
AGAGUUUGAUCAUGGCUCAGAUUGAACGCUGGCGGCAUGCUUUACACAUGCAAGUCGAACGGUAACAGGGAGCUUGCUCCGCUGACGAGUGGCGAACGGGUGAGUAAUAUAUCGGAACGUACCCAAGAGUGGGGGAUAACGUAGCGAAAGUUACGCUAAUACCGCAUACGAUCUAUGGAUGAAAGCAGGGGACCUUCGGGCCUUGUGCUCCUGGAGCGGCCGAUAUCUGAUUAGCUAGUUGGUGAGGUAAAGGCUCACCAAGGCGACGAUCAGUAGCUGGUCUGAGAGGACGACCAGCCACACUGGAACUGAGACACGGUCCAGACUCCUACGGGAGGCAGCAGUGGGGAAUUUUGGACAAUGGGCGCAAGCCUGAUCCAGCAAUGCCGCGUGAGUGAAGAAGGCCUUCGGGUUGUAAAGCUCUUUUGUCAGGGAAGAAACGGCUGUGGCUAAUAUCCACGGCUAAUGACGGUACCUGAAGAAUAAGCACCGGCUAACUACGUGCCAGCAGCCACGGUAAUACGUGGGGUGCAAGCGUUAAUCGGAAUUACUGGGCGUAAAGCGUGCGCAGGCGGUUUUGUAAGUCUGUCGUGAAAUCCCCGGGCUCAACCUGGGAAUUGCGAUGGAGACUGCAAGGCUAGAAUCUGGCAGAGGGGGGUAGAAUUCCACGUGUAGCAGUGAAAUGCGUAGAGAUGUGGAGGAACACCGAUGGCGAAGGCAGCCCCCUG